CUCUCUCUCUCUCUCUCUCUUUCCCUUGAGCUACAUUAUGGGAAAAUCCGCAGACCUCCAUGUGGCUUGAUGCUCAUGGGCAUUUGACUCCUAGAUACUUUGUCUACAGUCUCUUGACCCUCAGCCCAAACAUUGGGAGAGUUUGAGAGGUUUCAAUGAGAACAGAAGGGACAAAGGAUACAGGCAAGGUUUUCAAGUGAAAUUACAGGAUGAUUUCAGUGAAAAUUCACAUUGAACUUCUCAACAAGAUGCCAGAGGCAGAAGGAAAGAUGUAUCCAACAAAAUGGUGUUGUUGAAGUUGAAGCGUGGCAGACUGGAUGUAGAAAUAACCAAAGGAUUAGAUAGAGCUUUGUAAAUUUGCUUACAGGCAUUCUUG